rnacentral:rRNA from 1 species
AUAUAGGACAAUGGGGGCAACCCUGAUCCAGCCAUGCCGCGUGUGUGAAGAAGUUCUUCGUAUUGUAAAGCACUUUAAGUUGGGAGGAAGGGCUUUAGGUUAAUACCCUGAAGUAUUGACGUUACCCACAGAAUAAGCACCGGCUAACCCUGUGCCAGCAGCCGCGGUAAUCCAGAGGGUGCAAGCGUUAAUCGGAAUUACUGGGCGUAAAGCGAGCGUAGGUGGUUCAGUAAGAUGGGUGUGAAAUCCCCGGGCUUAACCUGGGAACUGCUUUCAUCACUGCUGAGCUAGAGUACGGUAGAGGGUAGUGGAAUUUCCUGUGUAGCGGUGAAAUGCGUAGAUAUAGGAAGGAACACCAGUGGCGAAGGCGACUACCUGGACUGAUACUGACACUGAGGUGCGAAAGCGUGGGGAGCAAGCA